rnacentral:rRNA from 1 species
GACGAACGCUGGCGGCGUGCUUAACACAUGCAAGUCGAACGGAAAGGCCCUGCUUUUGUUGGGUGCUCGAGUGGCGAACGGGUGAGUAACACGUGAGUAACCUGCCCUUGACUUUGGGAUAACUUCAGGAAACUGGGGCUCAUACCGGAUAGGAGCUCCUGCUGCAUGGUGGUGGUUGGAAAGUUUCGGCUGUUGGGGAUGGACUCGCGGCUUAUCAGCUUGUUGGUGGGGUAGUGGCUUACCAGGGGUUCGACGGGUAGCCGGCCUGAGAGGGUGACCGGGCACAUUGGGACUGAGAUACGGCCCAGACUCCUACGGGAGGCAGCAGUGGGGAAUAUUGCACAAUGGGCGGAAGCCUGAUGCAGCAACGCCGCGUGCGGGAUGACGGCCUACGGGUUGUAAACCGCUGUCGCAUGUGACGAAGCGUGAGUGACGGUAAUGGGUAAAGAAGCACCGGCUAACUACGUG